GGGCCUGUGGCAUAGCGGCGAUUGCACCUGGCUUUUAACCAGAGAUUAUACACCGGGGGUUCGAGUCCCUCCAGGCCCA
rnacentral:tRNA from 1 species